UACAGAGGGUGCGAGCGUUAAUCGGAAUUACUGGGCGUAAAGCGUGCGCAGGCGGUUUUGUAAGCCAGAUGUGAAAUCCCCGGGCUUAACCUGGGAAUGGCAUUUGGGACUGCAAGGCUGGGGGUUUGGCAGAGGAGACUGGAAUUCCUGGUGUAGCAGUGAAAUGCGUAGAUAUCAGGAGGAACACCGAUGGCGAAGGCAGGUCUCUGGGCUGAAACUGACGCUCAUGCACGAAAGCGUGGGGAGCAAACAGG
rnacentral:rRNA from 1 species